rnacentral:lncRNA from 1 species
CCUUCAGAUGCCACCCAUGACGCUUUCCCAUGCGGGAACUAGAAUGACUGUUACACUCUUGAAUUUCCUGAUGCAACUGCCUACUGCAGUCUGUGGAUGGGGUCUCCUUCCCUGUCCUCCUCCCCCUCUGGUGGUUAGACACCCAGCAGUACUGUCACGUGGCUGGCAUGGAUGUGAUUUCUCCAUCUAGUGGCCUAGCAAAGGCAUUGGCAGUGACUGGUCCUUGAGGAACUAUCCUUCCCCCAUCCAUACAGGACACCUGAGACUGCCGGAGCAAGGACACUAAUCGGACCUGAGGGCUCCAACCGCCAGCACAGCCCUCAGCAGCAGCCUGAAUACUCGGGCUCGAGAAUUGGCGCUGUGACCUCAUGCCACAAGAGAUUGGCUCUGGUCAUUACUGUGGAAGGUUGGCCCUAUGGGCUCUCAGACCCAGUGCCCGAACUGAAAAGAGAAUGAUUGUCCCGGAACGGUCCCCUGACAUCUCAGUGGGAGCAGAAUGCUGUGUGCCCACAAGAUGAAGUUCUGUUGCACUCGUCUCAGGGUCCCAUCCUCGUCCAGGGCUCACAGGCAUGAAGUGGAAUGAGAUCCCGAUGCUUCACAUCUCUGCCUCCCUCUGCCAUCAAGCCUGGGUCCCCCUGAUUCUCAGAAGCCACUGUCAGUGAUGGUCUGUGUUCCUAGGUCAGAACCUCCUUGCCGUCUUCAUACAGCUUGGAGGAGCUUGCCGAAGAGACUGUGUACCAAGCAGUGUGCCAAUGAAGGAGCCCACAGUGGCGUCUACCAAGGGGUGACUUCUUAGGCGGUGGUGGGAGGCAGCCUGGGCAUGAACAAAGGGCUGAAGCUCAGAGGCAGACUUCGGCGAAUGGUCUGUGGAAGCAGAGUCUUCCUGGUACCUUGGGACGCUUGGGGAAGGUCCCUGAGAAGCCAGAAGGGACUCAGAGUGCAGGAGAGGCCUGAACAGCUCCAACUCUGGAGGGCUCCUUGGGGCAGACAAGUGGGCUGUGCACAGACGAGGGACAGCACACCCGCCUUCCCUCGAGGCUAGGCCCAGGAGCUGGGGGGCUGGGGGAGGGGGGACAGGGCUGCCCUCUUCAGUUUGCUGGGAAGGGAGGACCCAAGAGUCUUCUCAGCCCUAGAAAGUCAACAUGGUUCAUCCCUCGUCUGCCUGCGAUGCUUCAGGCUCCACACAGACACCACACCCAGCGUGUGGGUUGGGCAUGCGGUUUGCAAUUGGGCAAA